CUGUAGCCACCCAGUAUCUGUUUGGGACAGCCACAUUGCUGGUAGAUAUAUAUAACAAAAUAGUUGAAAUUCCUCCCGACUGUGAAGUGAUCAUGAGACCUGGCAUUCAUUAGACAAGCCCUCACCUCGAAGAGGUUGGUCUAAAGCUGUAUUAUUUCCCUUUCCAUUUUUUGCCAAUGGAUACAUUACUAUUAUCUAAUUUAGGCACAAAAGGAUUCACGUCCGUGUCAGAACAUUUUUUUGGAUGCUUUUGGACAACAAAUUACUCAUAACUACGCUGUUGGUUAUGCUCCCUAAAAGUGAUGGAGCAUCGUUUGACGUUGAUGCUUUAGUUUUGGGGGUGGGUUGUUACUGCAUAUUGAUGGGGGAAGAUGGAAAGUGGAUGAAGAGCGGAAUAAAAUUUUUCCCUUGAAUGUCUCUUAGCACAUGCGUAUUAGUAGUCUAUAGUAUUCUUUUGGCUAAAAGCGGUGUAUACCAUCUAAAGGUGCCACCAGCACUCUGUAAGUCAUUACAUCUGCUUGGAGGUGAAGAGAAUAAAAUCAGGAGAAGACUCUGAAAUUUCAUUGAUUGUGCUGAGAUGAUUAAGGAUUAUAUUAGGGUCCUAUCUGUUUCUCUUCUUUCCUCAAUUUGCAGAAGAGUUUUUGCAGUUGUCCUACAUAUUGUUUCUAUUCAUUUUGCCAGUUCGUUGACUCUCAGAAUUUAACUUUGUAUAGAGGUAUUGUAGAAACUAAUUUAGGUUGCAUAUGCUGGAGAAGGAUUAUUUUCACAACAUUAUUCCUAGAUAGGCUAAGAGCUUUCUCAUGCAGGUCGAACAGUAAACUUUUCAGUUACAUGAAAUUGCUUUGUCCUUCCCCCUUAAUGAACAUGUUGCAUAAAUUUGCUGUGGUAGCUAACCAGUGCUUCUCCUCCUAUUUUCCUGUUAAGAAGAAAACUAAUGGAAUACCAUUGUAAUAGGGGAGAAUUUAAGAGUUACAUAUCAUGUCCAGUUUCUCAUAGAUUGUAGUGGAGAGGAAGACAGUGAAAAGACCCCAGAUACUGCAUUCCUGAAUAAGAAAUCUGCUUUUAUUCAGCUUGCGGAAGAAAGCCCAGUAACCAAAACGAUUGUUUUCUGUAACAAGGUAUGUUGAUCUUUCAAUAAAGACUGCUUGAAAUUGACUCAUCAUUACAUUUCCUUCUCUCUCCUGACCAUCGCACUGACUCUUGACCUGGAGCUUGAGAGAAAUUUCUGAAGCCACUGAAUGGAGGAGUCAUCAUUACUUUGUCCUCUUCUCCAUAUACAGAUUGAGACAUGUCGAAAAGUUGAAAAUGCAUUGAAGCGCAUUGACAGAAAAGGUGCUGAUACACGAGUUGUACCUUAUCAUGCUGCUGUUUCACAAGAGUUGUGGUAGGCAAAUAUGAAAGAGUUUGCUGCUUCUCCAUCCAAAGAUGUCUCCUUGUGUUUGGUUUGCACCGACAGGUAUGUAUAGAUGCGUUGUGCGAUAUCAAUCAAACUAUGCUUCUAGAAAUAGAUCUGCUUUGCGGCCGAGCUUGAUCCCUAAAAGUAGGCCUCAAGUUAAACUGUGCAUAACCUGCCUAGACCCAGGCCUUCAGUUCUCAGUUCAAGCUUGCACAUGUAAUAAUGGAGUCAGUCUCAACAAGAAUUAGAUGAAAAUAGUAAUGGCUGGGAUAGGCCUUGUUCUGUCUUGUGGGUUUUGUGAAUAAUUGGGAUAGGCAAGAGCUGAGUUUUAGCUAACACUCGAGGCACUCUCCUGGUCGUUUUAGCAAAGCGAGGCGAUGUCUCUGCUACUCACGUCAUCUCAGGCAAGGUUUCUUCAUUUAAGGUAAGCACCUGAGAUGAGGUGCUCCUCCUCUGAGGCAUUGCCUCAGAAAAGAUUUGUCUAGGUUAACGUCAUUGCACCAGUUCAAUUUGUGCUACGAUGCAGACCUAAUAAUUUGUUUGUUGAUGGAUUAAUCCCCACUUCUUACUUGGCACCUCUCAUUGUUCAGCCUAGUGCCUGAGGCACUAUGGGGUCUAAGUCUCUUAACAGCGCCUAGUGAUUAUAACGGCACUGUUUGCAACACGGUCAAACGAAAAGCAGAGCAGGGUCACUGGAUACACAUUAAUUAACCUAAGACAUGUCACUCUCAUCUUUCCUUAGGCAUUUGCAAGAUCCUGAUGACUUUUCAACCAUAUGACAGGUCGUUACGAGGACUCGACUUUACUGGAGUGGACCAUGUUAUUCUGUUCAACUUCCCGCGCGAUCCAAGCGAAUAUGUCUGCCACAGAGAGAGGUGCUGGAGGGAAGGGCAAAGCGUUCAUCUCUACAGCUGGGAAGCAAGUUUCCCUGGCAAGAAGGAUAAUGGAGAGAAACUGGAAAGUUCAUCCCUAGCAUGAUGUGCCCUCCGCUUAUAAGUUGAUGAGACGUUCGUGCACUGAGCGGGAUCUGAGUUUAUGACGGGAGUAGAUCCCAUCGGUCCAUUCUAUUUUUCCUGCAUGUUACGGAGGAGCAGCGCGAGACAAGAAGUGAAAACGUAAAGGGAGUUGUUUGGUUAGAAUCUGGUUCUCCCAUUUUGCAUCUCCAUGUUGAGGGGAUCACAGAAGCGUCAAUACAAUGAAGAGCUUGAUAUCAAGGUUCAAAACUUAUAUAUUUUUGUCUUUAUUCAGUUCAUUGUCGAGGAGGAUUGAUGCUCCCGAGGAUCGAGACCUAGUUAAGAAGUCUCGGAGGCCCAUAUUGUCUGAAGUUGCACUUUGUUGAUAGUGAAUAUGCAAUGAUAGGAAAGUUCGGACCGUAUCCCCUAUUGGAUGCAAUGAAUAUAUAAAAUGACCUGCUAUAGCAUGUUACUGAGUGUUACGGUAUAAGAAGCUAAUUUACGAGCACAAAAUAUAAUUUACAAACUUUAUACUGCAUAGCCAACUUUACAUUCAAGCUAAAUUACUCAAAAGGUAAAUUAAAUUACUUCCUCUAAAUGUAAAUGACAAAGAGCUGUCCGAUUUAGUGAUUUGUUACUUCGACGUGUCCAAAAUAUAUUAAAAUUCUAUUCUUCUCUCAAUGAUUGCAUGAGUCAGGCCCAUGGUAACCAGUGGGAGAUUCACGAUGCAGUUACGGACUUUGAAGAAGAGAGAGGAGAGAAUGUGGGAGGGAAUAAGUACGUCGAGAUAGUAAGGGGUGCAUGAUAACCAAAAUUUCUGUUUUAGAAAUAGUUUUUUUGUUCCAAACCUAUUUCUGGAAGAGAAAUCCGUUUGAUAAACCUAUUCAGUUUUUCUAUUUCUGGAAUAGAUUUCUAUUUCAGAAAUAGCAGAAAUAGGUUUGGAAGAGAAAUCAGAAGCUAAAAUUUUAUACUUUUCUAUUUCUAUAAUAGAAAUCAGAAAUAAAAAUUCUUCUCAUCGUUCGUCAAUUUGUCCUUCGUUGUCGCUGACCACCGUUGUUGGUCGCUCGCUGCCAUCGCCGCCGUCGCCGCCGCCGCCGGUCGCUGCCGCCAUCGCCGGUUGUUGCCGCCACCAGUUGCCGCCGCCGCCGGUCGCCAAUCGCUACCGCCGCCGGCCGCCAGUAUCCGGACGCCGGCCGGCGUACGCCGGACGCCGGACGCCGGACGCCGGAUGCCGGCCGCCGGCCGGAAAGGAAGAAAUUUAGUGUCGUUAUUAAACGAAUUUCUAUUUUUAGAGUAGAAAUUUUGUGUCAUUAUCAAACGGUUAAUUUUGCUUAAAAACUCUUCUAGAAAUAGAAAUAGAAAAAUCUAUUUCUGUUUCAGAAAUUAUUUCUAAAACAUAAUGGUUGUCAUGCACCCCUAAGACACUGCGGGAGCUCAAGAAAUUCAAAGAAGCAGCCUACCCAUUCACGGACAAGUUCUUCACUCUCCUUCACUCAGUGAAUGAGCAGCAGGCAGAGAUGUUGCAGGAGUUGCAGAGUUGUAAGAAGAAGCUUGCCAAAAAAAAUUAAAUCUGCACAAGCUUGCAGAAGGGUGACCAAUGCCAUAUUUGUGACCGGCUUCGUGGCCACUGGGAUCUUCUCAGUCGUUGCAGUUGCGAUCGGUGCACCGCCUGUUGUGAUUGCUGUAGCUACUGCUCUGACAGCUCCAAUAGGGACAGUCGGCGAGUGGUGUUACUCUCGGUGGAAAAAAUACCAAAGGAAACUUUAAAAAAAAAGGGAGUUGGUUAACUUAAUGACUGCGGGAAGUGGAAUUAUGAUCUCAAUCAAAGAGUUGGAGACGAUUGAAUCGCUUGUGAGUAAGCUGGAAACUGAGGUUGAGUCGAUCGUGCAAAAUGCUGACUUCGCUCUUGGAGAAGAACAGGAAGAAGCGGUGAAGCGUGGAGUGUUGGAGAUCAAGAAAAGGGUGGAAGAUGUCAUGGCAGAUAUUGAUGUUCUCUGGAAGCAAGCUGAUAAGAGUAGGCGUGAUAUAGAGUGGGCGAGGAAAGUGAUAGAGCAUAAAUUAAAUACAUAUUCCAGCCAUUAGUUCUUUUUUUAUGCUUAGAAAGUUAACAGUCAAUGCAGUUCACUGUCUUAGAUGAACAUUGUGUUGCAAAGAUCUUCUCGGUUUUUUCCUUUUGGUCGAACCUGAUCUGCCAAUGUGGUCUCAACCAAUUCAUACAAAUAUUAGGAGUAUAGAGAUUAUGAAGCAGUUAUACAUUGGUGUGCUUCAUAAUGCAGAUGCCUUUCUCUGGGAUAACUUUUACCUCUUCGCUUCGUCCUGUUAAUCUAGCUGCUAUUGCUGAUUUGUUUGGUUGAUUCACUGAGAGAGAAAAAAUUGAUUCAAGCGUUACACUAAUGUGGUUUUCCAAUUCAUUCUAAAUGCGACAUAUUAACAAAAUUCUGUCAUUUGCCAGUAAUAAUAUAUGGAGGGACACCAUAAACUUUGGAGUCUCAUACCACAUUUUGCUUAUGGAGUGUCAAGUAAUCUGAGGAUGCCAAAAUAUUGGGGUUGCUGAGAUGCAUCUCUUGGCAGUUAAUUCAUUGUGGAAAACCAUUAGCAAAACUAGCCUGUUCUACAACGACAGGAUAAUUUGCACGGCUGUUGUAAAAUCUCUUGGCUCUUAACAGUUUAGUUCUUCAAGUUUAACUACCAAGUCGCACAACUACUGCGAAAAGUACCUUAUCCUUUAUUACUCUCAUCGGUCAUGUCAUUUACCAGUGUAUUUUGAUGAAGGAAAAUGAAGUGAUCUGAGAGCCUGUGCAUAGCCUGAAAGGUACUUUAGCGUCAUCUCUCAAUGAAGAAACGCUAGUGUAAUUGUUUAGAUUCUCAAGUGUGAAAGUAUUAACUACAAAAAGAUGUCAGAAAUGGAUGGACCGAUUGUUCCUCUCGUCAUCUGCUAAACCAUGCAUCCCUUGAACUACAAAAUUUCGGGGACUGAAUAAAGUCAGUUGCAUCCGCAAUAUUCAUUCAGCAUUUCCGACAAUUUCAUGGAUUAAAAUGGAAAGAGUUCCAGUGGCACCAUAAAGUUCGGUAACAAAAUGCCAAUGUCAUUCUAAGCUCAGCAGCAUCCCUCACGAAACACUGCGAGUGGGCGAUGCGUUAGUAACACUCAAAAGAUCUAGAAUUUCUUCCUCCAGGCAUCACGUUGAACAAGACCCACACUAGCUGUUAACUAUCAUCUACCACGGGUCAUGCUGUUGAAACUGCUCUCUGAUUGGAUUGGCCUUACAUACUAAACAAGAACUGAAGACGAGAUAAAUCGAAACAAGAAAUGCCAAACUUCAGAAGUUCCAAUAAUCAGAUGAAGAUCUUGAGAUUGGCCUGCUCGUGAGACACAAAUCCAACAUGCAGUCAUGCAAUAGUCUCCCUCAUUUCUGAAUAUGGUACUAGUUAAAAUAUGGUACUUCAAACCACUCACUGACAAAAGAAACCUGCAAAAAUGAACUAAAACCUUCAUUCUCACAGCUACUUUCAACAGGUAGAUGGCAGAAUCACAAAAAAUGAAUCACAUUUUGCAUUUGAGAGAUACUAAACACGAGCAUGAGCAUCUGCUAACACUGAAGCAAGACCUGAAUACACAUCAAAUCAACAAAUUCAUGACCCCAGACAUGAUGAUUUGCUCUUUAUUGUUCUUUCCUUUCCUGUCCGUCCACCUCAUAUACGUCGUCGUCGUCAUCCUCAUCGUCAUCUACAUCCUUAUCUGCAUCCUCAUCAUCAAAUAUAGAACUACGAGGAAAUCUGCUCAGUUCACGCUUCUCAUCUUCUUCAGUAAGAAAUUCCAGCCCAUAUUUUGUGUCUCGGUGCUUCACAAGGAGCCAGCGCAAUAAUCUGUCUUCCCUAUUCAAGUAAUGCAGCUCUUUGCUCAUCAUUGGUGAAGCCAUCAUGGUCAACUGCAUCAUCUGACCUUGCAUGAUGUGAUAUCAGUGUCUGGAUCAAAGAAAUCAACAUGAGAGAAAUAGCCAGAGACCUAGAAUCCUCUUUCCUCCACAAGGUAAAAGUGCAACCAACUAAAUAUCAUCUUACUGCUUCAUCAGGAAGAGUAGCAGAUAGAGAGCCCAUCCAAACAGUACAUAUUACUGCCAGGACAAGGGUAAAUUACACUAUACAUCACUCAACUUUUAACUUUCAAAUAGAUCACUCAACUUUCAAGUUCAGCAUAUAGAUCACUCAACUUUGGGUUCGUUCUCCAUAAGGUCACUCUGUUGACUAGCUGUUCAAAUCCCAUUAGAAGUUUGACCUGGCAUCAUUGUAAUAUUGACACGGAAGGCGCCUGUGUUUUUAUUAGACUUUCAUUGUAGGUCAGUCAACUUGCUUUGCCACUCACUCAACUUUAGAUAAAUUUCAUUUCAGUCACCAGACUUUAAUAUUGAACUCAUACUGCCAUUUCAAAUUAAUAUCAAAAUCAGAUUAAAAUUAUCAAAACCAGCUGUCGAAUCAGGGUUCCAAUGAGUUUUACACAGGUCAAUCACCAGAGUUAUUCCAUUGAAAGCAAAACCAAAGUGAAUGAAAGUUUGAAAAUGAAUAGCCACUUCGAAAGUGAGUGAAUAGUAGAGUGAACUCUGGUGUGAUUGUCCUGCCAGACCAACAUUGCAAAAUUAAAUCUUCCAUCAAUUGCUACGGUAGCAAUGGAUUAACUUAGAUGAAAAAAAUGAUCAUGGUAAGUAUUAACAGCAAUAAGCUUGGAUGGUAACAGCAUCAGUGCAAAACCGAACAUACAACUCCAAUCCAGUAUUGGAUUUCCUCAUAAGCUAGUUAAUAUUUGUUCCAACAUAUCUGCCUGCAUAAUUACCAUCUCCUAUGGCUUCCACUCCUAACAUAAGGCAAGGACCCAGCCGAAGACAUCAUCACAUUAUGAGAUUUUCUAAUAAGCUAGCAUAAUUUUGCUCGACAUAUGUGCCAACAUAAUCAAUUUCUCCUGCAGCUUGCUACUUCAAACAUGAGGGAAAGAGCCAGCCAAAUACAUGGUCGCGUUAAGCAUUCCAGUUGUGAAACCUAAUAGAUUCAGCAUUUCUGCAUCAUCUUCUGUCAAUAUUCUGUUACGUUAUCUUGUUCUAGAGAGUACUCUCUGUCAUUCUAUCAAACCAAAUAGCUCAUUUGUAGCUUCCAAGUUACAUAAACCAGGAAUUUAAACAAAGAAGAUGAAUCAAAUCCAAUUGCAUAUCACAAGCAAGCAGAAGGGCUCGAAUUUUAACAGAAGAAUCACCUGAAAGAAUCGCCCAUCAAGCUUCUUGAUACCAUAACCCUACUGGACCGUCCCGCAUGAUUUUACCUCAGUGACGACCCCGUUUUUCUUAUAGACGUCUCUUCCUAUCCGAGCCACCAUAUCCAUCGAAGCUUCCUUCUUGACAUGGGGUUCAGCAAAAGCACGCAGUCAAACAGAGGCUUUUUUUUUUUUCUUCUCCCCCCCCCCCCCCCCCCAAAACCCGUCUUCAGCUGAACUUAUCUUCUAGACUGUCAAGAAGAGUUAUUCCAUCAAAUCAAAUGAGCGGAUGACACGCAAAUCGCUAUGGAACUGCAAGUACUACUAAAUCUAUAGCCAUCACUACUAGAACAUGAAAAGAUAAGUAAUCAGACACGCUAGAGAUCAGGUACUCUCGGAUCAAGCCUGAAAAGAACAGGGUCCCUGAAAAUAUAAUAAUAUAAUCGCGUGAGGUAAAAUAAUGAAUGAAAUGUCUAUUGAUCUAGGCAUUUCAUCAAACAGAUAGAAUGAAUUUUAACCGAAUGAGGCAACAGAAUCAACCACCAAUGAGGGAGCAAGAAGGCGCCGGGGGAGACGGAGAAGCUCUGGAGGCGGCGGAGAGGCGUAGGAGGACGAACUAUGGAGGCGGCGAAGAGGCGGCGGCGGAGGAAGAGGAACCCUGGUGGAGGCGGUGAGAUGAGGAGCAAGUGGGGCCCAACGAUUUAGUCAUUUUUCAACCCUGACUUUUGGUAACAAUUGUAUUGAGUAAGGCUAAAAGAAGGAAAAAAAAAAAACCAAGAAAUUUAUGGAAGUUUAAUGUUAAAUCGAAAUGUGAUAAAAAGUAUCGAGACCGUUUAGGUGUCAAAAAUGAAAGCAUAGAAUGUCUUAAUCUCGAGUCUUGUGUAUUAAUUAAGGAGUAGGAUCAAUUUUAGCUAUUGAAUGAGAUAAAAGAUAUAAAGAGUAUCAUAAAAAUUUAUAUUGAACCGAUACAAUCUUUUAGACAUAUUAUAUGAUAUAUUGCUUUGUGUUGAGGUAAAAUUUCGAACUUAUGGAAGAUUCCAUGUAUUGUGUUUAUCGUGGUUAUGAAGUAUUAAAAGCUAUUCCAUAUUAAAAAAAUCUAUCACAAGAAAAAUUAAUUUAAAAGAUUUUGAUUAGCUUGAAUUCAACAAAGAAGUAUUUCCUACAACAUGUUUGCUCUAUUUUCGUUUUCUAUUAAGGGCAUGGGGAAAUAUCCCCUACUCGCCUCUCUAUGGCUCCAUGGAUGUUUUUGUGUGAUAAGAAAAGUGAGAAAAACAAAUUUACUAGUUUUUAUUGCAUAAAAAUUAAUGAUUUGAAAAAUAUUUUUCUAUCUCGUGACCAUCUUGUAUGAGCAUUGUCAAGAUUUGACGGGUUUAGGAAUAAUGCCAAAAGCAUACUAAUGGUUCCAAAACGACUUGAGUCAUUUUGAACCUUUAUCUCGCUUGACAUUGGGAAACUAUAAUUGAAAUAGAUAAAUUCAAGAAGUCCAACUUAAACAAAGUAGUGCACUAGCCUAUUAAGACUAAUUAGGAGCCAAGCAAGGCAUGGGAUGACACCUCACUCGUUAAUAACAUGUAUCGAGACAGUAACCUCCAUAAGCUAAGUUCGAGUUAAGUCAAAUUUCUUAUUCAAGAGAUCAAUCUACCUAAACCUAAGCUAAAUCAAAGAUACUCAAUAAAAUCUCUAAACUAAUCACAGAAUGUAAUAUAUUAACGUGGAUGGAGUAGUGACGUAAGAUGAAAUUUAUCCCAAAUGAAUAUACAUUCCAAAUUUGGAAAAGCGGAGUACUUUUCAAACUUAUUUCCUUGGUCAAAGAGGCCCAAAAAUUUUGAAUCUAUUCAAUGGUGUCUCUGACUAGUGAAAAAAUACAUAUAAAUUUAGCGAAAAUACUCCCAUAAAAAUUAUAGUCUCUAUUAGAUUAUUAUAUCUCAUUAUGUGAGUUAAUUUCAGAAAAUUCCUUUCCUCAUAUACUAAUAUAUUGCCAAAUGAAGUUAUAGUGGUGAUAUUGCAAUAAAUUAGGGAAUGCCUUGAAAUAUUCGAUGAUACUCUCAAAUGUGUUGUGGCAAUACGUUUAGAGGAGUUCCUCUUUCCUUUUCGUAUAUAUUAUUUUUUAGUUAGGUUUACAAAAUUUACAAAUACGCAUCAAAUUGGACUGAAAAUAAUUGAUCGAAAACUUCGAUAAGUUCCUUAUCAAGACUUCAAAGAAUCUAUGGGUCUUAGUCGAGUGUCGAAAAGUGUCGGAGAAUAUUAAAUAUGUAUUGAAAUGUUUGACAUAAAAUGGAAGCUCUUGAAAAUUGUCGAUGCUUCCUAGGUUACUAAUUCUUUUCCUCACAUAUUGAUAAACUGCAUAAUGAAGUGAUCGUCAAUAUAUCACAAUAAAUCAUGGAAUGCCCUGAAAUAUUCAAUUACACUCUCAAAUGUGAUGUGGUAGUAGUAACUUUGUAUGGCUUCAUUUUUCGUUCUCGUAUAUAUUAAUUCUUAGUCAGGAGAAAAACUUACAAAAUAUAUUAGUAUGCACCAAAUUAGAUUGAAAAUAAUAGAUCGAAAAAUCUCCAUCACUUCCUUAUCAAGACUUCAAAAAAUCUAGGCCUUAUAAAAUUUCAGUAAUACAUUUUAUAUCUUUUAUCUGUGGGCCUUCCUUCUUAAAAUCGACCCAUUAAUAAUUAAAAUUCAAAACUUAUGGUACGAUGUUUGGAUAGUUUAUAUCUUUGAAAACUUUCUCCAGAAAAGAUGUCAAUUUUCAAUGUAGUGUUUUAUUUCGAGUUCUUCCAAUAUAUCCCGAAAGUCGUCAAUUUUUUUUUUUUUUGGGAAAAGAUAAAUAUAAGCCCUCGUGCCAGUGUUAUUUUUUUUUAAAUUUUUUUAUUAUAUAUAUAUAUAUAUAUUUAAAAAAAAAAAAUUGGAGUGGUUUUGGGGCUUAAAAAAAAAAAAUCUUCAUCUUCGUUAUCAUCGUCAUCUUCUUCAUCUUCAUUUUCUUAAUUUUUCUGGGCAUGCACGAUGAUGCUAGCGAAAGCUCCUUCUCCUUCCAUCAGCCUCAACUCCACACCCUCCACCUCCACCUCCACCUCCGUCGCGUACCCUUUCUCCUUCCGUCCCCGUCUCCUCGCCUCCCGGGCCCUCGGCGAUCGCCGCCGCCGCCGCCCCCGCCUUCCCGGCGGCGGGACUCGUAAUUUCGCCGUCCGGUCGGGGGGCUACACGAGGACGCCCUUGGACACUCCGGGGGCCUACCAGCUGAUCGACGACGAGACGGGCGAGCGUUUCAUCGUCUGGAGCGGCAGCGACGACCCGGCCGACUCCCGGGCUCCGCCCGAGGACGUCCUCCGGUGGAAGCCCGCGAGGAAGAGCGGCGGCGGCGGUUCUAGUGGAGGUGAUGCUUCGCUGCGAAUUGAGUCUUUGGUCAUGUGGACGAUUGGGUAGUAUUUGGUUUUAAGAGCGUGGCAGAUAAAGGGGAUUUGUGUCUUACUUUCGCUAUCUUUUUGGGACGAUGGUUUGAUGUUACUAGCGCACUCUCUUUUGGGUUGCUGAGCUGAAAGUUAGGUUAGGUUAUUAUUAUUAUUAUUAUUAUUUAUUAUUUAUUUAUUAUUUAUUUAUUUAUUUUUUUUUUUUUGGGUGUAUGCAUUGUUGAUAAUUGGUACCUGAGCCGUUGGAACAACUCAAGCAAUUUGUUAUAUUCAUUUCAUGCUGUGCAAAUGCCAAAGCUGAACUAUUGUGUUCAGAUGCAUAACUAAGUCCAACACUAGUUCUUCUUUUGGAGCUUAUUUGAAUCAUGCAGUCUUGGGCAGAAGAUUUUGGUUUUCUUAGUUUGGCUCGAAAACAAAUAUAUGCAAACAAGAUAGAAAUUUCUCUCCCAUUUCAAUCCGUGUUGGACUUUCUCACAGCAUACUUAAUCCCUCUGUGUAACGUGUAAAGUCGGAGCUUGGAGAUGAAUUUGUUUUUACAUCGAUAAAAUGAAAUCUGACAGUCAUUUCUUUUGCAGGCAAUCAUCAUGGGUCAACGCUGCCAAAAGAUGAUUCUCCUGCAGCAAGUGUGAGGGGCAGAAGUUUUGGACGAUUGAAAUCGCAGAGAGUCAAAGCUCUUGCUGAAAAAUCUUCCAAGCUAAAGGAAGCGAGUCACAAGGAUUAUGAACAAGAAAUAGAAAAUGUGCCUUUUGAUGUGCCUGAUCUCUCUUAUUCCAAAUUGGACCAACAGGGGAAAAGGAAGGAAGCAGCUAUCAUUGGACUUAAAGGAAAGGAUUCGGGUGCUUACCGAUCCAAAGCUGCCAAAGACACUGCAGGGAGGACUGACACUGCAGAUGUGGAUCAUUCAGCGUACCGAACGGAACCCAAUAAACAUGGCAUAUCUGCCACCAGAGUAGUUGGAACAGAGCAUUCAGUUCGUAGUUCUAAUGCAGAUUUCAGAGGAUGGGGCAGGGGGGUGUCUGUGGAUGACUUUAGAUCUGAGUCAAAAGAUCUAAAUUUGCAUAGGAAAGUUUCCUCCAAUGGUGACUUCUAUAGUCGAAAGUCCUUUGAAGAUUUGGGUCGUAGUGCCUGAAUGAAGGAAUCUUUGAGGAAGCAACAGUUUCUGCACCCCUCACAUAUUCAGGUACAUCAAUAGUAUGACCUACUAGAAGUCAAAGGUUUCAACUUGUUGUUUUCUCUUUUUUGGCCGGUAAAUGAAAGGAACUUGGUCAUUGCUUCCUUACUGCCCGCUUUAGCUGGCAGUAUACUAAAUUUGAGCACGUUCCAAUUAUAUAACAUUAUAUCUACGGUCUGCAUGAUAUCCACAUUGGGCUUUAAAUCAAUGAUGACCUUGUUUCCGUAUAGUUCUAGAGGUAAGCUUGCAUUUGUCAUCAUCAAUAUUUUAUCUGUAAGCAUGAAUUUGGAGCUGAUGGAUGUAGAAGUCAUUGAAGGGCCAACCUAUAGCAUCGGUUUUUGUCUUUUCCUUCUCAUGGGUAUUGAUAAGUAAUUCCAUCAAGAUGUUCUAUCUACAACUUGACAAAAGGAAGAUCUUCUCCUAGUGUACUGCAACUCAGAUUGAUGCUAACUAUGAAUGACUGCAGGCAAUGGCAUUCAAACCUGUAAUUGAGGGAAAGACUUGUAUUAUAGCUGAUCAGAGUGGCUCGGGAAAAACGCUGGCUUAUCUUCCACCAGUAGUCCAAUGUCUCAGACAAGAAGAAUUGCAGGGACUUAGCAAAUCCUUCUCACGAAGCCCUCGAGUUGUCAUUUUGGUGCCAACUGCUGAGUUAGCUUCAUAGGUUGGUAGUCGGUAUCCUUUCUUGUGCCUUUUCUUUUACCCUUACGUGCUUUGGCAAUCAAGUCACCAACUUUUACUUGUUUAUGGCCAUUUUAGGCUCUCAUCCCAUACUGUGAUAGGCUCUUGCUUAAGCAGCAAAUUUGUGGUAAAAAAGCACUGCAAUUUAUUUUCGGCGGCAGUCAAAUUCUUUUGAACAACUCGUCGCCUAUAAUACUCAAAUUGUCAUCUCUUCUUUCAAAAAUGAAAAUAAAAAUAAAAAUAUGGAGAUUCCCAAGUGUUGCAAUCUGAAAGAUUGUAUUGGGUUCCUGCAAAGACAAAUAUGCAAUUUGAGUGGCACAGUUGCUUAUAUGAUGUGCAUAAUCCGUUCAUGUGGCAAAACUGGUAAUCUCUGUGGAGCUGUUGAAAAUGUAGGUGUUCUGAAUUUGGAGACACUCUAUAGUUUGUUUUAUUUAUAGCCAUGUGUGUUUUUGCUAGUAGUUGAUUACAAACUAACGUAGUCCACAUGAGUGAUACUUAAUAUCUAUAGUAAGUUUUAUGCAGGUUUUGAGUAACUGCCGAUCCAUAUCAAAGUGUGGGGCUCCAUUCCGGUCUAUGGUUGCCACGGGUGGUUCAGACAGAAAACUCAGCUGGAAAAUAUAGAAGAAGGUGUUGAUGUCCUAAUAGCCACUCCUGGUCGCUUUAUUUUUCUCAUUAAAGAAGGCUUUUUGGAGUUGGAAGGAUCUUAGAUGGUGAGCCUGCAUUGUAUAAUGUUGCAUGAAUGAGUUUGGGUGCACGAGCUAUUCAAAAUCAUCUUCUUCUCAUCUGUUUUUGAGUAAUGAAUGUAAUUGUGCUACUGUUUCCUAGAUUUAGUACUAUCACCAUGUAUCAUUACCAUUCUUUGAGGAAAGGAAAAUAUUAGCGAAAUUUCUAUUCUUACUCUUACCUACACAGCUGAAACUCGAUUUUCUGGCUUGAGUUAUGGAGACCUUUGCUUUGAUUUACAAAAAGGCUAGAUAUAUUGCUAUCCGUUAGCCCCAGUAGAAACUUUGAGAAAUGACCGGUGACAAAUCGUGAAAGCUCCACUCAUCAUAUUGUUGGAUAUAGGAUAUGAAGUUAAAAAAUCUUUCGUUAAUGGAUUUUCCCGCUAAGAAUUUGAAUGACAUCAAAGCCUGGAUGGUUUUGGCAUUCGGCAGAUUUCAGUCCAUGCUAUACUACAAACAAAGAACUCUAUGUAGCUAUAGUGUACUGAAAAAUAGAAGAAUGGUCGUUGUACAUGUUGCAGAUUCUUUUGCAACUUCUGCUAUAAUUUAUGGCUUUAUGGCGCAGCGUGAUUUUGGACAAGGUGGAUAUUCUCUGCAAGGAUGAGGAGUUUGAAGCAGCUUUUCAAAGCAUAAUCAAUUCUUCACCUGUUGCUACACAGUAUCUGUUUGUGACAGCCACAUUGCCAGUAGAUAUUUAUAGCAAAAUAGUUGAAAUUUUCCCCAACUGUGAAGUGAUCAUGGGACCUGGCAUUCAUCGGACAAGCCCUCACCUUGAAGAGGUUGUUUUAAAGCUGUAUUAUUCCCCCUUCCAUUAUUUGCCAGUGGAUACAUUACUGUUAUCUAAUUUAGGCACACAAGGAUUCACUUCCGUGUAUAUACAUUUUUCUGGAUGCUUUUGGACUAUAUAUUACUCAUAACUAAACUGUCGUUUAUGCUCCCUAAAAGUGAUGGAGCAUUGUUACCUUGAUGCUUUGGAUUUGGGGGUGGAUUGUUACUGCAUAUGAUGGGGGGAGAUGAGAAUUGGAAUGAAAUUUUUUCCUCGAGUGACUCUUAGCACAUAGUAUCGAUCGUCUAUACUAUUCUUGUGGUCAAAAGCAGUCUAUACUAUCUAAAGAUGCCACCAGCAUUCUGUAAGACAUUAAAACUGCUUGGAGGUGAAGAAAAGGAGAAGGCUCUGAAAUUUCAUUGAUCUCGCUGAGAUGAUUGUGGAUUAUAUUAGGAUGCUAUCUCUCUCUUCUUUCCUCAAUUUGCAGAAGAGUUUGUGCAGUUCUCCCGAAAAUUCUUUCUAUUUCACUUUGCCUGUUUGUUGAUUUUCAGAGUUUUACUUUGUACAAAGGUAUUAUACAAACUAAUUUAGGUUGCAUAUACUGGAGAAGGAUUAUUUUCGCGACAGUAAUCCUAGAUAGGCUAAGAGCUUUCUCAUUCAGGUUGAACGGUUAUCUCCUGUUACAUGACAUUGCUUUGUCCUUCCUUCUUGAUGAACAUGUUGCAUAAAUUUGCUAUGGUAGCUGACCAGUGGCAUUCCUCCUAUUUUCCUGUCAAGAAGAAAACUGGCCGAAUACCAUUGUAAUAGAGGAAAAAUUUAACUGUCAC
rnacentral:lncRNA from 1 species